rnacentral:rRNA from 1 species
UAGGGAAUCUUCGGCAAUGGACGAAAGUCUGACCGAGCAACGCCGCGUGAGUGAAGAAGGUUUUCGGAUCGUAAAACUCUGUUGUUAGAGAAGAACAAGGACGUUAGUAACUGAACGUCCCCUGACGGUAUCUAACCAGAAAGCCACGGCUAACUACGUGCCAGCAGCCGCGGUAAUACGUAGGUGGCAAGCGUUGUCCGGAUUUAUUGGGCGUAAAGCGAGCGCAGGCGGUUUCUUAAGUCUGAUGUGAAAGCCCCCGGCUCAACCGGGGAGGGUCAUUGGAAACUGGGAGGCUUGAGUGCAGAAGAGGAGAGUGGAAUUCCAUGUGUAGCGGUGAAAUGCGUAGAUAUAUGGAGGAACACCAGUGGCGGAGGCGGCUCUCUGGUCUGUAACUGACGCUGAGGCUCGAAAGCGUGGGGAGCAAACAGG